AGGAUUUUACAAUGUGAUACAGUAAUUUGGUGAUUGCUUGUAGUACCGCGAAGAAAUGAAGCGUACUGGAGUUCCAGUUACAAAGCAUAUUUUUAUGGCACAAAUAAAUGCAUAUGCAGCUUGUGGGCAAAUUGAGAAGGCAAAACAGGUAGUCUUGGACAAAAUGAUACAUGUUUGCAGCAUAAAUGAAAUCAAGAGUGUGCUCGUGUCAGCUCUUGCAUUGAAUGGGA